rnacentral:rRNA from 1 species
UACGUAGGGGGCGAGCGUUGUCCGGAGUUACUGGGCGUAAAGCGCGCGCAGGCGGCCUCGCGCGCCCGACGUGAAAGCCCCCGGCUUAACCGGGGAGGGUCGUUGGGGACGGCGGGGCUUGAGGGCGGGAGAGGUCGGUGGAAUUCCCGGUGUAGUGGUGAAAUGCGUAGAGAUCGGGAGGAACACCUGUGGCGAAGGCGGCCGACUGGGCCGACCCUGACGCUGAGGCGCGAAGGCGUGGGGAGCGAACGGG